rnacentral:rRNA from 1 species
UACGGGGGGAGCAAGCGUUGUUCGGAUUUACUGGGCGUAAAGCGCACGUAGGCGGUUUGUUAAGUCAGAGGUGAAAUCCCGGAGCUCAACUCCGGAACUGCCUUUGAUACUGGCAAGCUAGAGUCCGGAAGAGGUGAGUGGAACUCCUAGUGUAGAGGUGGAAUUCGUAGAUAUUAGGAAGAACACCAGUGGCGAAGGCGGCUCACUGGUCCGGUACUGACGCUGAGGUGCGAAAGCGUGGGGAGCAAACAGG